GACGAACGCUGGCGGCGUGCUUAACACAUGCAAGUCGAACGGUGAAGGGACCAGCUUGCUGGUUCUGGAUGAGUGGCGAACGGGUGAGUAACACGUGAGUAACCUGCCCCCUUCUUCUGGAUAACCGCAUGAAAGUGUGGCUAAUACGGGAUAUUCUGGGUCUGUCGCAUGAUGGGUCCGGGAAAGGUUUUUUUCUGGUGGGGGAUGGGCUCGCGGCCUAUCAGCUUGUUGGUGGGGUGAUGGCCUACCAAGGCGGUGACGGGUAGCCGGCCUGAGAGGGUGGACGGUCACACUGGGACUGAGACACGGCCCAGACUCCUACGGGAGGCAGCAGUGGGGAAUAUUGCACAAUGGGCGCAAGCCUGAUGCAGCGACGCCGCGUGAGGGAUGGAGGCCUUCGGGUUGUGAACCUCUUUCGCCAGUGAAGCAGGCCUGCCUCGUUUGUGGGUGGGUUGACGGUGGCUGGAUAAGAAGCGCCGGCUAACUACGUGCCAGCAGCCGCGGUAAUACGUAGGGCGCGAGCGUUGUCCGGAAUUAUUGGGCGUAAAGAGCUCGUAGGCGGCUGGUCGCGUCUGUCGUGAAAUCCUCUGGCUUAACUGGGGGCUUGCGGUGGGUACGGGCCGGCUUGAGUGCGGUAGGGGAGGCUGGAACUCCUGGUGUAGCGGUGGAAUGCGCAGAUAUCAGGAAGAACACCGGUGGCGAAGGCGGGUCUCUGGGCCGUUACUGGCGCUGAGGAGCGAAAGCGUGGGGAGCGAACAGG
rnacentral:rRNA from 1 species